rnacentral:rRNA from 1 species
UACGUAGGGGCAAGCGUUGUCCGGAUUCAUUGGGCGUAAAGCGCGUGUAGGCGGCCAGGUAGGUCUGGUGUGAAACUCGAGGCUCAACCUCGAGAGGUCAUCGGAAACCAUCUGGCUAGAGUCCGGAAGAGGAGAGUGGAAUUCCCGGUGUAGCGGUGAAAUGCGCAGAUAUCGGGAAGAACACCUAUGGCGAAGGCAGCUCUCUGGGACGGUACUGACGCUGAGACGCGAAGCGUGGGGAGCGAACAGG